rnacentral:rRNA from 1 species
UCCGGGGGUAGAGCACUGUUUCGGCUAGGGGGCCAUCCCGGCUUACCAACCCGAUGCAAACUGCGAAUACCGGAGAAUGUUAUCACGGGAGACACACGGCGGGUGCUAACGUCCGUCGUGAAGAGGGAAACAACCCAGACCGCCAGCUAAGGUCCCAAAGUCAUGGUUAAGUGGGAAACGAUGUGGGAAGGCCCAGACAGCCAGGAUGUUGGCUUAGAAGCAGCCAUCAUUUAAAGAAAGCGUAAUAGCUCACUGGUCGAGUCGGCCUGCGCGGAAGAUGUAACGGGGCUAAACCAUGCACCGAAGCUGCGGCAGCGACGCUGAUGCGUUGUUGGGUAGGGGAGCGUUCUGUAAGCCUGCGAAGGUGGCCUGUGAGGGUUGCUGGAGGUAUCAGAAGUGCGAAUGCUGACAUAAGUAACGAUAAAGCGGGUGAAAAGCCCGCUCGCCGGAAGACCAAGGGUUCCUGUCCAACGUUAAUCGGGGCAGGGUGAGUCGACCCCUAAGGCGAGGCCGAAAGGCGUAGUCGAUGGGAAACGGGUUAAUAUUCCCGUACUUGGUGUUACUGCGAAGGGGGGACGGAGAAGGCUAUGUUGGCCGGGCGACGGUU